GAGAUGUGACACCAAUGGCAAUCUGAAGUCAUCCAAGGAGGUGCCACACCAGUGACACUCCACUGCUAGGCUGUGUGUACUGCUAGAGCUGGGCCCUGUGGAGGUUUGUCCAGAACCAGGAAAAGAAAUGCCUCUAGUAUCUUCUGACAAAACGUCAUACCCCCUAGCAGUGACCCUUCAUACAGUCCAGCGCCAUUUUAACUAUAAUAAUGGACAGAGCAGGCAACAAUGGGUAGAUCUGAAGCUUAAAGCCCUAGAUUCUGUAAAUUUAUGACUUUCCACUACUUAUUCAAUAUUUUUUUGCCUUCAGUCAGAAUCUCAACUCGUCAGGGUUCUUUACCUGGUGGGAUGACCCAAAUAAUCAUUACUGAAGGGUCUGAGUCCAAUUGUCCUACCUGUUUUGGUUGCUGUAGUUUUUCUUCGACCUUUGCUAUUAGGUUUGGAAGUACUCAGGCCCCCAGAGAAUCCUGUGUUCCAGACAGAGUUCUUGCCGCCUCUGUGUACCAGCAAUACAAUCUCCCCUUUGUAAUCAGGAUUGAUCAUUCCAGCCAGUAGACUAAUACCUUUUGCAGUCUAUGGGUGUAGUGGCAUAAGAAUCCCAAGAUGGCCCAGUGGCAGUCUCAUCUCAGAUCUUCUAUCAGUAGACCCAUUGUUGUGUCCCUGCUUGAAGUACCCCUUGAGAACCAAGACCUCCAAAGCAGCACAGCUCGAGGUUUCAGUGAUGAGAAGUAUGAUGAGCAGAGCCACUCCCACUAUCAUCUCAUGAUUCCUGGACUCAUAUGCUCUGGCUCAAAGCGUGUGCCACGUCCACUAAGAUAACUCCAUCCCUUCAGGGUGGUGUCUCCCGACUUGUAACUGAGUAUUAGGUGAACUAUUCCACCUUUCAAUUAGACCAGCCACUUCUGUGUGUUGUGGUACGUUAAUUUCAGGGGCAUGAGCUCACUGCAGGAUUUCCUUUAUUGUAAAUUUGAUUCCUUGAUUAGAAGAAAUGCUAUAGGAAAUGCCAUGAUGGUGGAUAAGGCAUUUUGUGAGUACAUGGAUCAGGUGGUAAUGCUGGCAGAGGCUUUAUGGACAGGAAGGCAAUCCCUAUCCAGAAUGUGUGUCUAUUCUAGUGAAAGUCAAAUCUCUCCUCUAUGAUGGAAGAGGUCCAAUGUAAGCAAACUGCCACCAGGCGGAUGGCUUUUACCCGUGGGAUUGAUGCCGUAUUGCAGCCCUCAGUAUUGGUCUCAGUUCUUGACAGAUUAGACACUUAGUAGUGUAUGUCAGCCUUGGUAAGCGGAAGUCCACAUUGUUGAGCCUGUGCAUAUCCUCUAGCUCUGCCACCACGGCCACAUUGUUCAUGGGCCCCUUGAGCAAGCACUGGGGUAGCUGGGAAAUGAGGCUGACAGACAUCAACUGUGCAUUAUUUUGUCCACUGGACUGAUAAGAGCCUCCUCUGCUGUGGAUGCCCUUCGGUGGGCGUUGACAUGGGACACAAAUAUCUUCACAGUGUGUGCCAGUCUGAGACCAACCUUUCAAUCCUGUUUCUUCCAACUUCCCGACUAUCCAGCCAAACCAUUAGCCACAGCUCAUAAACUAGUGUGGGUCUGUACCGCUGGCCAUCUCUCAGUUCAGACACAGCAGACAACCAAAUGUAUUACUUGAAAUUCUGCUCACAGGGAGGGUUUUCUUUCACCACUACCCUUCAGGGUCACCCCUGAGUGGGACAUCAUGCUGCAGCUGUCCACUUUUGAGUGGAAUCAACAUAUCAUGCAAACCUAUCUAUAAACCAGGCUUGAUUUUUUUGUUUCUUAGCCAGCUAGUUGUUAGAAACACCCCAGGCUCGUAGUAUGGAUUGAGGAAGUGGAGGCAACUGUUGGUGUUGAAAGCAUCUGAGCCACAGGUUCAAGGAAGCCACUUGUGCCUUUCAGGCGUGCCCAAGCAAGCUAAGUCUAUUGUAUAGCAUUUCCAUGGAUGCUGCUGUGUAUGCCCAAGUUUAUGUCUAGGUGGGUCCUCGUGAACAGUCACUCUAGCAAAUGAUUACAGAUCCCUUAGGAAAAUGAAGGAAGAUUUGUGUAUUAUCCUUCUGACUACAAGAAACAGAUUUUUUAAAGGCUCUGUGAAAGUUCUCCGGUUCUCAGACCAUGAUUUGAGCUGAGAAUUAAAGGACCUGAGCUUCUCAUUUUCUCCAUUUUCUUGUCUGAACAGAAAGACUUGGAUUAGGACUUUACAAAAGGCUGAAGAGGGGGGCUGGCCCCGUGGCCGAGUGGUUAAGUCUGUGCGCUCCGCUGCAGGCGGCCCAGUGUUUCGUUGGUUCGAAUCCUGGGCACGGACAUGGCACUGCUCAUCAAACCACGCUGAGGCAGCAUCCCACAUGCUACAACUAGAAGGACCCACAACGAAGAAUAUACAACUAUGUACUGGGGGGUUUGGGGAGAAAAAGGAAAAAAUAAAAUCUUUAAAAAAAAAAAGGCUGAAGAGGGUUUUGGCAUUUGUAGGAAGAAUAAAAAGACUGUUAAGAGAGGGUGAUGUUCUUACG
rnacentral:lncRNA from 1 species